rnacentral:tRNA from 1 species
UGGGAUGCAGCUCAGUGGUAGAGCACUUGCGUAGCAUGUGCAAGGCCCUGGGUUCAAUUCUCAGCACCACAA